UGUAUAAUGGGUCAGCGACUUAUAUUCUGUAGCAAGGUUAACCGAAUAGGGGAGCCGAAGGGAAACCGAGUCUUAACUGGGCGUUAAGUUGCAGGGUAUAGACCCGAAACCCGGUGAUCUAGCCAUGGGCAGGUUGAAGGUUGGGUAACACUAACUGGAGGACCGAACCGACUAAUGUUGAAAAAUUAGCGGAUGACUUGUGGCUGGGGGUGAAAGGCCAAUCAAACCGGGAGAUAGCUGGUUCUCCCCGAAAGCUAUUUAGGUAGCGCCUCGUGAAUUCAUCUCCGGGGGUAGAGCACUGUUUCGGCAAGGGGGUCAUCCCGACUUACCAACCCGAUGCAAACUGCGAAUACCGGAGAAUGUUAUCACGGGAGACACACGGCGGGUGCUAACGUCCGUCGUGAAGAGGGAAACAACCCAGACCGCCAGCUAAGGUCCCAAAGUCAUGGUUAAGUGGGAAACGAUGUGGGAAGGCCCAGACAGCCAGGAUGUUGGCUUAGAAGCAGCCAUCAUUUAAAGAAAGCGUAAUAGCUCACUGGUCGAGUCGGCCUGCGCGGAAGAUGUAACGGGGCUAAACCAUGCACCGAAGCUGCGGCAGCGACGCUUAUGCGUUGUUGGGUAGGGGAGCGUUCUGUAAGCCUGCGAAGGUGUGCUGUGAGGCAUGCUGGAGGUAUCAGAAGUGCGAAUGCUGACAUAAGUAACGAUAAAGCGGGUGAAAAGCCCGCUCGCCGGAAG
rnacentral:rRNA from 1 species